CCCCCCCCCCGCCCCUUACCCUUAUCAAGUCAUGUGACAACCAAUUGGCUGGAUACCCUUCUCAUCAUCAUUAUAUCCUACCCCCACUGAGCCCUUAAUAAUAAAAAUCUGUUAAACCAGAGAGGUGCUGUAUGGCACUAUAUUUCUUCAUUCUAUAACAACCCCCCCCCCCACGUCAUGACAAGUCAUGCGGCUCACCCUUGGUUUGAUGUACAUGUAUACCAUAUUAUACUCAUCUUCCUUUACCCAUAUGUGCUCAGAUACCCCCUGUUAUGCCCCAAAUAAUAAAAAAAACCUAAAACACAGGAGGUCCUGUAUGGCAUUAAAUAUGUCUGCAUUCUUUACACUCCCCACCCCCCCCCCGACUAUUCAUGUGACACCCCCUGUGCUCUAAUACCUUGAUACUCAUCAUCAUCCUUAUAUAUAUAUACAUGUUAUAUAUGGUAUUACAUAUUUCCGCUCCCCCGCCCCUUAUCAAGUCAUGUGACAACCAAUUCGUCCCUGUUUUCACGAAGUGACGGAUAUGAGAAAAAUCGCAUUUUUUUCAAUUUCGAGUUUUUUGCAUUUUUGGAGAUCUUUAAUUCAUAUCUCGAACCUCAACAAGUUUCAGAUCACACAAAUGCCUAAUUACGUUGCUAUGACAACAGUGCACACAUGAAAAUACCCAGAUUAAGGAUUUCUUGUUUUUACGAAGUGACGGAUAAGCAGCCAUCAAUUCGUGAAAAUAAACGAAUACGCUUUAUCACUCAAGAGUUUUUUCACGAAGUGACGGAAGGCAAAUUUUUACAGUUUGGAACAGCCGAAGACCAUGAAAUGAUGCAGUAUAUACAGUAAGCAAUGUUUCAGAGAACAAAUGAGAGAAGUCCUGGAACCAGUACACUCGCUAUUUAACAAUGCUGAUGGUCAGAUACGAUUCCAGGUUGGAUCCAGGAGCCAACAUGCUUGUCAGGUGGGUCAUUGAUAAUUCCCUGAGCACCGCAGAUGUGAUCUGAUUUGGUGACAUGACAGUUGAAUUGGUAGUGACUGGAUUUUAACAGUGUGCCCUGGUUUUGAACUGUUGAAGUAACCAAACUAGAAACAUCUUCUGAGAACUCUGACUGCGAUUCUGAUGAUGAAACUAUGUCUACACUUGUGAAAAGUAUGAAGGAAUUGGCUCUGCCUCAUGGCCUUUUAAGGCUCUCACUUAACUUUUUCUUUAGUUUCCAGCUGGGUAACUGAUGCCCGUUUUAACUUUCUUGUGAUUUUGACUUCAACAUAUUAAAGUUUAGUUCUAAUUUUGAUAGGAUUUUCAAAUCUGGUUUAAUUUUUAGAGCAGUGUAUUAUAUAAAGAAACCAUGCUGCUUGAACUAUUCUGUGCUCUUACAGUGAUAUAAUUAUGAACUCCUUCAAAUAUGUUUUAUAUAUAUACAGUCAAAUAUAAAGUUCAGAAUAGUCAUUUAUCUGCUAUCCUUGCCACAUGUUUAAAUUGCUUAUAAAUACACAUCGUCCGCAUAUUUGCAGAAGAAUUACCCUUCUUUAUUCAUUUUGUUUGGCAUGUUUUCAUUUUGCUUGGUGCCAUCUAAAAAAAAAACUGCAUAUGUCUACAUUUUUGUAAAACAGAAUGUUACUAGCUUUAUUGUGCUUAAAUGUAUUGUAUUAAUACUUCAUACUUUCUUAUAAUAACAUAACCAUACAAUUUAGACUGACAUGCAUUGUGAAACUCGAUUGUUACAGGAUAUAUUACUAGUAAGGGUGAAAAUCAUAUUAGGUUUUCAUGAAUUCAUUUUCAAAAGCCAGAUGUGUUAAUACAGACCCCCCCCCCCCUUCCAUGAGGUAAUUUUUUUUUGGUCUAUCAGGGGUGUGAGAAUUCUUAAGCUGAUUUCAGCUAUUUUUGUUUUUUAUUUUCAGCUUGAUAUCCCUUUUUGUGUACAAUAGUUUGAGGGCUCAUUCAAUUUCAUCCCCUAAAACUCUUCAGCAUUUUCAGCUCUUUAUCUUUCAUUCACACACCUGGUUUAUGCAGUUUUACAGUUGAUGUGUCGUCAUUUUAUUCCAGAAAUUUCUAAUGAAUGAUAUUCAGGAAAGAAAUAAUACAUGAUUAUUUUUAGCAGACAUUUUACAUUAGCUUGAAGUUAAAGAUACACUGCAGCACAUGUUUUUCUGUAUAUUUGUAGUAAGAAUUUAACUAAUUUGUACAUGAUCUCAAAGAUGUUACUUGCUAAAAUCGUGACAAUUUAUUGUGAAGUUUUCAGAGUUGGAACUAAGGUGUAUUUUAAUGUAUCUUUCUGUUUUUGGACUCGGGCAAUAAUUUGCUAUUAAAAAAACAAGUGUUUGAUUGGAAAAUGUUGUUUAGUACUUGACAGUGUGUAAAAAGAUUAAAUAACUCAAGGCAACUGUGUCGACUGAUUUAAUUAUGACAUUCUUUUAAAAAAAAGUGUAGUGAAUGUAAUAAGUAAUGGUGAUUAUGUUACUUCUAUUUUGAUGGAAAAGAAAUAUACCAUUUUACUUGAAUAUGUGUAUGUCAAUACAAAUAUACAUAGAGAAUACAACUUUCCUGCACCACUAGCAUUGAUUAUAUUCCAGUAUUCUUGUAAUUUAUUCAUUGGAAUGUUUUGAAUGUAGAGUAACUUAUUGAAUUUGGUAUUUGUUAGCAAUUCUGUAUUUCAAAAUGUGGCAUUCACAGACUAGGAUUGCUGAUUGUGUUAAGCAGGGCAUGAUAUACAAAUAAAUAUAUUGUUGCAUAUAUUCAAGUUUUAUUUAAUGUAUAAAAUGACAAAAUUCUGUCAAUGUGUACCUGAUAAUUCACUUCUUAUACAUUUCAAAGUGCAAUAUUAGAUUCAUUAUAAUAAUUAUGAAUGCCGUUGUGUUUGUCACUAGCGAUUAUGGUCCGAUAUAUAUUAUUGAAUUAAAAAUAUAUUUCCAUUGUUAACAUUGUAUGGAAUUGAUAUUUUAAUGAAUUUA